GGAAGAAGGAAGUGGGCCCUCUCUUCCUCCAGAGUCACCCUGUGAUCCACCAGCAAGGGAGGCCACCAAAGGAAGGCGUCUGAUAAGAGAUAAGUUAUGUUUCCACAAACUCUAAGGAUUCUUGUAAGUUCCAGGGAGCCGAAACAGAUCCAAACAGGUCAGGUUCACUCCAGGUAAUAUUCAACCUUUCCCCGGUCCCAAAUUCCCUUCACUCAUCUUGGGACACCUCGGGAACCCCUCCCUCAUCUUACAAUCUUCCCCUCAAGUCACAGGACCUAAGAAAAAAUUUUUUUUCUAAACUCAACCUUGUCUUCUGCUCUGUCAACAUCUUGCCAGGUCUAAGAGGCGCCAGGGAGUUCCAUACAGCCUGGACUACAAUGAAACAACCAGCUUCCCCAGGACGUGGCAACACCCCAACCUUCUCGGGUCCCCCAAAGAUGGUCAACGCCCCCACGUCAGCAGGAAGCAGUAUCAAGAAUUCGACGCCCUUAUUCCUUAACCUGCCAUGUCUAAACACCACACCUUUUUAAAUAAUAAGUAGAGGUGGGAAUGAAAGGUUCAGGCAUUAUGCUGGCCUGCCCCUGUUACCUGGUGGAAUCCACUCAGGCAAUACCCUGGUCAGCCCAAGGUUCCAUGGGAAAGAAGUCUGCACGCAGGUGCAGAGGACCCCUUUAAAAGAUAGGCUCUCUGCCCCUUUACGCUCGUGCUCUUUCUCUCUCUCCCCCUGUUCCUGUCUCUCUCACUCUCUCUCUCUCUCUCUCUCUCUCUCUCUCUCUCUCUCUCUCUCUCUCUCUCUCUCUCCCCCUGUCUCUCUCUCUGUGUGUGUGCUCUCCCGUCUCUGUUUCCCCGCUCUGUCUCUCUAUGGCGACCGGCCAUGGCGGUCAGCCAUUACCCCUGUUCCUCUUCUUAGUCUACCCAUUCUACCGGCCCUUAUAAUAAACUUAUAAUCUUAUGUCUG
rnacentral:lncRNA from 1 species